AAAGCUCUUGAUGAUGAGAUGGUCUCCUUUAUCUUGGACGGAGUCGACUUCGACUACAACCCCUUGGUGUUGUCAGUCGUUGGGUGUGUAGAUCCCAUCUCACUCAAUGAUCUGUAUGCCCAGAUGAUGUCCUAUGACA